GAAAUGCGAUAAGUAAUGUGAAUUGCAGAAUUCCGUGAAUCAUCGAAUCUUUGAACGCACAUUGCGCCCUCUGGCAUUCCGGGGGGCAUGCCUGUCCGAGCGUCAUUACGCACCCUCAAGCCCGGCUUGUCUGAUGGGCCCCGGCGUCUCGUUCGCGAGACGGGCCCGAAAGGCAGCGGCGGCGUCGACCCGAUGAGCCCGAGCGUAUGGGGACUUCUGUCACACGUUCGCGGUGCGGACCGGCGCCUGCUUUGACUUUUCUGAUUAUCCAGGUUGACCUCGGAUCAGGUAGGGAUACCCGCUGAACUUAAGC
rnacentral:misc_RNA from 1 species